UUCCAGACUCCUACGGGAGGCAGCAGUGGGGAAUAUUGCACAGUGGGGGAAACCCUGAUGCAGCGACGCCGCGUGAGCGAUGAAGUAUUUCGGUAUGUAAAGCUCUAUCAGCAGGGAAGAAGAUGACGGUACCUGACUAAGAAGCCCCGGCUAACUACGUGCCAGCAGCCGCGGUAAUACGUAGGGGGCAAGCGUUAUCCGGAUUUACUGGGUGUAAAGGGAGCGUAGACGGCGAUGCAAGCCAGAUGUGAAAGCCCGGGGCUCAACCCCGGGACUGCAUUUGGAACUGUGUGGCUGGAGUGUCGGAGAGGCAGGCGGAAUUCCUAGUGUAGCGGUGAAAUGCGUAGAUAUCAGGAGGAACACCGGCGGCGAAGGCGGCCUGCUGGACCGUGACUGACGUUGAGGCUCGAGAGCGUGGGGAGCAAACAGGAUUAGAUACCCGAGUAC
rnacentral:rRNA from 1 species